rnacentral:snRNA from 1 species
UUCUUGGCCUUUUGGCUAAGAUCAAACGUGGU